ACUUUAUUCUUAAUUACUUUUUUUUUGUCUUUAUUUUUUUAGAACUGCACCCGUAGCAUAUGGAAGUUCCCAGAGUAGGGGUCUAAUUGGAGUUGUAGCCGCCAGCCUACGCCAGAGCCACAGCAAUGCCAGACCUGAGUCACAUCUGCGACCUACGCCACAGCUCACGGCAAUGCCAAAUCCUUAACCCACUGAGUGGGCAGGGAUAGAACCCACGUCCUCCAGGAUACUAGUUGGGUUUGUUACUACUGAGCCAUAAUGGGAACUCCUUUUCUUAGUUAUUUAUAUCAGUACACCGUGGAAGCAGAAAUAUUUCCCACUAUAAAGCUCACAGGAUGAAUAACAAAAACAAAAAAAGAACAACAAAAAAACCCACCAUAUUAAGCAAACCCUCUGAUUCCUUAAUUUUUUUCCAAAGUGUUGUUUGGGGUGGUUAUUAGGUCUUUAGUAUUUUUUUUCAUGUUCUAUGUUUGCUUUUGUUUUCAUGACUUCUUGACCGCUGGAUCCCACAAGCAUACAAAUGAUUUAACACUGUGCAAACAGCAAUGUAUUAGUCAGAACCUUUGUAACAUUUUGUAUGGCAACACGGAGAAAGUCCAUUGUGAAGGACAGAUACAAUUCAAAGCACAGCACUGAGGAGUGUGAGUGAAAAGAGUUGAAUGUAUACGAUCUGAAAUAAAGAAGGUUUAAGAGAGACUGAUUUGGAGUUCCCAUCGUGGCGCAAUGGUUAACAAAUCCGACUAGCAACCAUGAGGUUGUGGGUUCGGUCCCUGGCCGCCGCUCAGCGGGUUAAGGAUCCGGCAUUGCCGUGAGGUGUGGUGUAGGUCGCAGGUGCGGCUUGGAUCUUGCGUUGCUGUGGCUCUGGUGUAGGCCAGUGGCUAUAGCUCCAAUACGACCCCUAGCCUGGGAACCUCCAUAUACCGAGGGAGCGGCUCAAGAAAAGGCAAAAAGAUAAAAAAAAAAAAAAAAAAAGAGAGAGAGAGAGAGAGACUGACUUGUUUCUGAGUACGAAAAGGAUUCCUACAUAAAAGAUAGAAAAAUUAUUCUUAGUCUCAUGGGGCAGAUGCAAAUUACAGCAGGGAGAAUUUAAAUUAGACAUUAGAAGACCUCUACAGAGAAAGACAAAUAUCAUAUGGUAUCAUUUCUACAUGGCAUCUAAUAAAAAUGACACAAAAGAUCUUAUUUAUGAAACAGAAACAAACUCACAGAUUUCAAAAUAAUCUUAUGGUUACCAUAGAUAAAACCAUGGGAGGGGGGUGGAAGAAUUGGGAGGGUGGAAAUAACAUAUACACACUACUGUAUAAAAUAGAUGAUUAACUAGCACCACUUUACCACAGGAAAAUCCACUCAAUAGUGUGUAAUUACCUAGAUGGGAAAAAAAGAAUGGAUAUAUUUAUAUGUAUGACUGAUUCGCUUUGCAGUACACCUGAAACUAAUACAAUAUUGUAAGUCAACCAUACUCCAUAAAAUUAAAUAAAUAAAUCUCAUUACCACAGGAAAAAAAGAAAAAGAAAAUGAACUCUCGGGAUUAUGGAAUGUGGGUAUAUCCUGUCACAAGAUUUUUUUUUUAUUUGAGAGUUUUGAUUAUUUUUUUUAAGCAGGGUAGAGUUGAUAGUUAUUUUUAAAUAAUUUUAAGAUAAAUGGAAAACCAAGAUGACUCAAUUUAUUAAAGCAAAAAUUCACAUCAAGACUUCUUGCAGGGAUGAACUGAUAGGUAAGGCACAUCUCUGCCCUCAAGAGUUACAGUAUUGAAAGAAGGGUGAGCAGGUUUAGCCAAAUAUAAAAAUAACUGCACAUAAAGCAUUUAUUUCUGCAGAGUAUAUUGCUGUAAUGACAGACUGUAUAUAAGAUUAUAUCACUCGUGACAAAAACUGAGAUUCAGGUAUCUCAGCCUAUAGGACAUGUUUCUUAAAGUGAAACUGAGCAUUGGUUGAAUAACCAUAAGAUGAACUCACUACAGAAAAUAAAAAGAAUCUAUUUGGCUAUGCUAUACAAUAUAAUUUAAUACUAUUUGGUAAACAGGGUUGGACACCAUGGGUUUUCACAUUUUUGAGAAAGGAAGAGAAAGCUUUUAUGUUAGGAAAACUUGCAGAAGGAAGACAAUGUGCUUAAGGAAGAAUCUUUACAUUUCAAAUUUUUCAAUUUCAUAACAGACCUAGCAUAAUUAUAACUUUUAAAUUUCUGCAGUAUGUCUAUGUGUAUGUGACUCUGGAGUUGAAAGAAUGCCCAUAUAAAAAAUACCAUAAGGAGGAGUUCCUGUUGUGGUCCAGUGGUAAUGAGCCUGGCUAGUAUCCAUGAAGAUGCAGGUUCAAUCCCUGGCCUAGGUCAGUGAGUUAAGGAUCCAGCAUUGCUGUGAGCUGUGGUGUAGGUCGCAGACACAGCUCAGGUCCCAUGCUGAUGUGGCUGUGGCUGGCAGCUGUAGCUCCAAUUUGACCCCUAGCCUGGGAACUUCCAAAUGCUGCAGGUGCAGCCCUAAAAAACAAACAAACAGAAAUAAUACCAUAAGGAAAUUUAUAUUGCAUCAUGGAAUACGAAUGGAAGAAAGGUUUGGGGUUUUGGGUUUUUGUUUGUUUGUUUGUUUUUUGUCGUGCCCACUACAUAUGGAAGUUCCCAGGGCCAGGGAUCAAACCCAUACCACAGCAGGGACCCAAGCUGCUGCAGUGACAAUGCUAGAUCCUUAACUUGCUGCACCACUAGUGAAUUCCUUAAGAAGUGUUUUAAAAUGUGCUUCAGGAGUUCCUGCUGUGGUUCAAUGAGACUGAUGGUGUCUCUGGAGCAAUGGGACACAGGUUCAAUUCCUUGGCCCACAUAGUGUGUUAAGAAUCCAGCAUUGAUGCAGCAGUGGUAUAUGUCAAAACUGCAGCUUGGAUAUCUGAUCCCUGGCCCAGGAAUUUCCAUGUGCUGUACAAAGCAGCCAAAAAAGCCCCAAUGAAACACCCAAAAUUUGCUUCAUAUUCAGUGCCAUGCUUUGGACACUUGGUAAAUAUAUUCAUAUGUAGUAAAUCAAAUAUCCACUGAUAAAUGGCAUUGACUUUUUUUUUAAAUCACUUAGCCUGUCUAAUUCUCAUGUAUAUGUGUUAGCAAUAAGCUCUCUGUAAAUCAGAUGCAGAGAAACACUGUUUUCACAUUCCUCAGUGUCCCACUAAUGCUAGUAGGAACAUAGUAUCUCUAAUAAAACAGGCUUGGCUUCUUCAAAAUUAAAACUAUAAAAAAUAAUUUUCAGCAAAAUAUAACCUAAUUUAUGGUCAUUAACAUUCAUCAAGAAAAUGCUAAAACUGCAGUAGAUAAACUGGCAAUGGAUAACCAAAACAAUUUAUUCCAAAAAAGUUUUAAUUAAAAUGAAAAAAAUGCUAUCAAGAAAUAUAAAUAAAACAUUUUCCUUUAAUAUUCAGAAAUGAUUUUAAUUAUAAUGAUCAGCAUUGAGGAUUGUGAUAUUCAAGUGAACAUUUGCAAACAGAGCUUGUGUAAAUAGAACUUGAUACAAUCUUUAAGGAAAGCUAACAUGCAAUUCAGAUCAUAAGCUUUAAGAAGCUUAUAUAAGAAAGCCAUAACUUUGACAAAAUUUUUAUACUUUUAAGAAUUUACCCUAUUUCAUCACCCUGAUCCUAAAACCAGACAAAGAUAUCACAAAAAAAGAAAAUUGCAGGCCAACAUCACUGAUGAACAUAGAUGCAAAAAUCCUCAACAAAAUACUAGCAAACUGAAUCCAACAAUAUAUUAAAAGGAUCAUACACCAUGAUCAAGUGGAAUUUAUCCCAGAGAUGCAAGGAUUUUUCAAUAUCCACAAAUUAAUUGGUGUGAUAUGCCACAUUAACAAACUGAAGAAUAAAAACCAUAUGAUCAUCUCAAUAGAUGCAGAAAAAGCUUUUGACAAAGUCCAACACCCAUUACUGAUAAAAAUCCUCUAGAAAGUGGGCAUAGAGGGAACCUACCUCAACAUAAUAAAGGCAUACAUGACAAACCUGCAGUUAACAUCAUACUCAAUGGUGAAAAGCUGAAAGAAUUUCCACUAAGAUCCAGAGCAAGACAAGGAUGUCCACUUUUGCUGCUUCUAUUCAACAUAGUUCUGGAAGUCCUAGCCAUGGCAAUCAGAGAAGAAAAAGAAAUAAAAGGAAUCCAAAUUGGAAAGGAAGAAGUAGAAACUAUCACUGUUUGCAGAUGACAUGCUAUACCCAGAAAAUCCUAAAGAUGCUACCAUAAAACUGUUAGAGCUCAUAAAUGAAUUCAGAAAAAGUGGCAGGAUACAAAAUUAAUACACAGGAAUCAAUUGUCAGGAUACUGUAAACCAACUAUAAUGGAUAAAAUAAAAAUCAUAAAAUAAAAAAAGAAUGAUUGCAUUUCUAUAUACUAACAAUAAAAGAUCAGAAAGAGAAAUUAGAGAAACAAUCCCAUUUACCAUCACAUCAAAAA
rnacentral:lncRNA from 1 species